GACGAACGCUGGCGGCGUGACUAAUACAUGCAAGUAGUACGCAGUUUCGCACGGGUGAGUAACGCUUAGGUGACUACCUAUUAGAGGGGGCUAACUAUUGGAAACGAUAGCUAAUACCGCAUACUAGUACAUAGCCCUGUGUUGUUGUAGCUAGUAGGUAGGGUAAUGGCCUACCUAGGCAACGAUACAUAGCCGAACUGGGAGGGUGGUCGGACACACUGCGAGUGAGACACGGCCCAUACUCCGACGAGAGGCAGCAGUAGGGAAUCGUAGGCAAUGGGGGGAACCCUGACCGAGCAACGCCGCGUGAGUGAAGAAGGUGUUCGGAUCGUAAAGAGCUGUUGUUAAGGAAGCGGUACUUAACAAGAAAGGGACGGCUAACUACGUGCCAGCAGCCGCGGUAAUUC
rnacentral:rRNA from 1 species